UUUAUGGAGAGUUUGAUCCUGGCUCAGGACGAACGCUGGCGGCGUGCCUAAUACAUGCAAGUCGAGCGGACUGAUUAAGAGCUUGCUCUUAUGAC
rnacentral:ncRNA from 2 species